GGAGACGUGCCUGAGAGGCCGAAAGGAGCCGCCUGCUAAGCGGUUAGGGGGUGUUGAGCUCCCUCGUGAGUUCGAAUCUCACCGUCUCCG
rnacentral:tRNA from 1 species